GAGAACCAGUGAGGUGAGAACUAUAGUUGG
rnacentral:piRNA from 1 species